rnacentral:rRNA from 1 species
GACGAACGCUGGCGGCGUGCUCAACACAUGCAAGUCGAACGUGAUUUUUGUGGAAAUUCUUUCGGGAAUGGAAAUGAAAUGAAAGUGGCGAACGGGUGAGUAACACGUGAGCAACCUACCUUACACAGGGGGAUAGCCGUUGGAAACGACGAUUAAUACCGCAUGAGACCACAGAAUCGCAUGAUAUAGGGGUCAAAGAUUUAUCGGUGUAAGAAGGGCUCGCGUCUGAUUAGCUAGUUGGAAGGGUAAAGGCCUACCAAGGCGACGAUCAGUAGCCGGUCUGAGAGGAUGAACGGCCACAUUGGAACUGAGACACGGUCCAAACUCCUACGGGAGGCAGCAGUGGGGAAUAUUGCACAAUGGGGGGAACCCUGAUGCAGCGACGCCGCGUGAGCGAAGAAGGUUUUCGAAUCGUAAAGCUCUGUCCUAUGAGAAGAUAAUGACGGUAUCAUAGGAGGAAGCCCCGGCUAAAUACGUG